ensembl:lncRNA
AUAAUUCUCUAAACGGUUUCGGCCGAUGAUGACUGUUUCGGCGCAGACAUCAUCGGCCGAUCAGACGUCAGCCGCCGUCCUCUCUGCAGGGAGGAACCCACCGCUCAGAAGAACCCACCGCUCAGAAGAACCCACCGCUCUGAAGAACCAACCGCUCAGAAGAACCCAUCUCUGAAGAACCCACCGCUCUGAAGAACCAACCGCUCAGAAGAACCCACCUCUCUGAAGAACCCACCGCUCUGAAGAACCCACCGCUCAAGAACCCACCGAAGAACCCACCGCUCAGAAGAACCCACCGCUCUGAAGAACCCACCGCUCUGAAGAACCCACCGCUCUGAAGAACCCACCGAAGAACCCACCGCUCUGAAGAACCCACCGCUCUGAAGAACCCACCGCUCUGAAGAACCCACCGCUCUGAAGAACCCACCGCUCUGAAGAACACAGCUCAUCCUUCGACGGUCCACGGAACCAGCGCUCAGGAGCAGGCUGAACCUCCUCCACCUCCUCCUCCACCUCCUCCAGGUGCAGGCUGAAGCUCCUCCACCUCCUCCAGGUGCAGGCUGAGGCUCCUCCACCUCCUCCAGGUGCAGGCUGAGGCUCCUCCACCUCCUUCAGGAGGCGGCGUCCCACUUAGUGUAUUUGACAAGCUGAGCUGGACACUAAAAGACAGAGUGUCAGUUUGUCAAAUACCCCAAGUGAGACGUCACUAGUCUUCAGUCCCGGUGAUGAUCGCUCCAUCAGCAGCACCAACACCACCAGCACCACCACCACCACCGGUACCAUUAGCACCUCAAACUGGUGAUAACUGUUCACAGGUGGUGCAAUGUUGAAGAAAUAUAUACAGACUAUAAUAAAUAAUACUGUUGUUGUUGACUGGACUGUCAAUCAUUAUAUUUUGAUGGAUUUGAUUUUAUGUAAACAGAUAAUCGUUUGUUAUUUGUGUGUUUGCCAAGUAAAAUGUCACGUAGAUUACAUUUCUCUGUUCCCCUCCCUGGGUCUGACAUUUUAAACCGUCCCUCAGAUGAAUCAGUGGUUUGUAUCGGAUUCGGGCGUGUUGUAUUGCUGCUUCCUGAAUAAAAAAGUGUCUUCUGCUUAAAAAUGUACAAAUUCUGGUAUCAGGUCAAUCUAGCAAACGAUUGUGCUCGAUUAAAACCUACACCAGGGUUGUUUAAACAUGAGGACAUAAUACACAAACACAAAAACAUCUGAACGACUAGAAUUAAUUGGAGCCAGAGUCUAACCAGUCCGAACCAGAUUAGCAAACGUGGGUUAUCUCUCCGCUCAAGUUUCCUGUUUGGAGACGCCGGACAGUAAGGCAUGAUGCCCUCACCCUCACUUCUGGGUUAGACAUAUAUAGUCCUAUGAAUACACAAUAUACUGUGUGUAAGGAUAAAAACAAUAAUGAAAAACUUGAUUGAUGAGAAGGUUGUUUGUCUAGUCUUGUCCUAUUUCCUUCUAUUCCUUAAUUAUAUUGUCUCUCUCUGUGUGUGUGUGUGUGUGUGUGUGUGUGUGUGUGUGUGUGUGUGUGUGUGUGUGUGUGUGUGUGUGUGUGUGUGUGUGUGUGUGUGUGUGUGUGUGUGUGUUUUUGACAUUUAGAAAAAGGGCAAAACUGAACUGGUGUCAUUGUGCAAAGUUCCCAGACUUUGAGGUUAUUGCCAAAGUGAUAAUUAAUGACGACGGUCUGUUUCUGAGUGUCAGUACCAGGCAGGAGAUCUUCAUACAGCACAGAGAAGGCUUCUGUCUUCAUAAAAAC